AUUCCAGCUCCAAUAGCGUAUAUUAAUGUUGUUGCAGUUAAAAAGCUCGUAGUUGAAUUUCUGGUUAAAAUCUUAGCUGGCUUUGGUCGUUAAUGUUUUAAUCAUCCGUUAGAGAACUAUAACCGUCCUUAACUGGUCAUUAUAGAGAUCUAACAUUUUACUUUGAAAAAAUUAGAGUGUUCAAGGCAGGCAAUCGUCAUGAAUACUAUAGCAUGGAAUAAUGGAAUAGGACUUUGGUUCAUUUUAUUGGUUAUUGAACCUUAGUAAUGAUUAACAGGGACAGUCAGGGGCACUCGUACUCCGCCGAGAGAGGUGAAAUUCUCAGACCAGCGGAAGACGAACCACUGCGAAAGCAUUUGCCAGGGAUGUUUUCAUUG
rnacentral:rRNA from 1 species